rnacentral:rRNA from 1 species
GGCGUGCUACACAUGCAGUCCGACGUGAAAGGGGAGCAAUCCCCCGGUAGGGUGGCAAACGGGUGAGUAAGACAUGGGUGAUCUGCCCUGGAGACGGGGAUAUCCCUCCGAAAGGGGGGGACAACACCGAAUAGUAUCCGGUUCCGUGAAGGGGGCCGGGGAAAGGGAGGCCUCUGGUACAAGCUUCCGCUCCUGGAUGAGCCCAUGGCCCAUCAGCUAGUUGGUAGGGUAAAGGCCCACCAAGGCGACGACGGGUAGCUGGUCUGAGAGGACAACCAGCCACACUGGCACUGAGACACGGGCCAGACUCCUACGGGAGGCAGCAGUGAGGAAUAUUGCGCAAUGGGGGCAACCCUGACGCAGCAACGCCGCGUGUGGGAAGAAGGCUUUCGGGUUGUAAACCACUUUUGCCCGGGACGAAAGGGGGGACCUGAAUAAGGUUGCCCGAUGACGGUACCGGGAGAAUAAGCCACGGCUAACUCUGUGCCAGCAGCCGCGGUAAGACAGAGGUGGCAAGCGUUGUUCGGAGUUACUGGGCGUAAAGAGUCUGUAGGUGGUCUGUCAAGUCUUUGGUGAAAGGCCGUGGCUUAACCAUGGGAAUGCCAAAGAGACUGGCAGCUGGGAGGCUGGGGGAGGGAAGCGGAAUUUCUGGUGUAGCGGUGAAAUGCGUAGAUAUCAGAAGGAAGGCCGGUGGCGAAGGCGGCUUCCUGGAACAGACCUGACACUGAGAGACGAAAGCGUGGGGAGCAAACAGGAUUAGAUACCCUGGUAGUCCACGCCCUAAACGAUGGGUACUAAGUGUGGGAGGGUUAAACCUCCCGUGCCGCAGCCAACGCAGUAAGUACC